GGUCAUUUUGUGUCUUUUUAGUAAUUUUGUGUCUUUUUUUGGUCAUUUUGUGUCUUUUAUGGUCAUUUUGUGUCUUUUUUGAUCAUUUUGUGGUAAUUUUGUUCACUUUUUUGGUCAUUUUGUGUCUAUUUUUAGUCAUUUUGUGUCUUUUAUGGUCAUUUUGUGUCUCAUUUUUGGUUGUUUUGUGUCUGUUUUGGUCAUUUUGUGUCUUUUUUGGUCAUUUUGUGUCUUUUUUGAUCAUUCUGUGGUAAUUUUGUUUACUUUUUUGGUCAUUUUGUGUCUUUUUUGAUCAUUUUGUGGUAAUUUUGUUUACUUUUUUGGUCAUUUUGUGUCUUAUUUUGGUAAUUUUGUGUCUUUUUUAGUAAUUUUGUGUCUUUUUUUGGUCAUUUUGUUUCUUUUCUGGGUGAUCUGAACUGUGCUGUGAGAUUGUGUUCAGUGAGCGGGGGGUUAACAUGCAUGUUAAAUUUGGUGUCGCGGCUCAUAAAGGUAGAGAACUCCUGGUCUAGAGGUCUAGAUGGUCUAGAUGGUCUAGAUGGAGGACAGGUGGAGGGCGGUGUAUGUGAGGUUAGCUGUGGUGCAGAUGAAGCCGAGCAGGUUGCAGAGGUUGGCCAACCCGUGGUACCGGCUGAAGGCCCUGCGGUAGCCGCGGUACUUGGGGUCCUUCUCG